rnacentral:piRNA from 1 species
UGACAUGAGGAUCUGAGGACCUCCGAUU